UACGAAGGGGGCUAGCGUUGCUCGGAAUUACUGGGCGUAAAGCGCACGUAGGCGGCUCUUUAAGUCGGAGGUGAAAUCCUGGAGCUCAACUCCAGAACUGCCUUCGAUACUGAAGAGCUCGAGUCCGGGAGAGGUGAGUGGAACUGCGAGUGUAGAGGUGAAAUUCGUAGGUAUUCGCAAGAACACCAGUGGCGAAGGCGGCUCACUGGCCCGGUACUGACGCUGAGGUGCGAAAGCGUGGGGAGCAAACAGG
rnacentral:rRNA from 1 species